rnacentral:rRNA from 1 species
AUGCUUCACAUCUCGUCAUUGCGGCGGAGGCAGCGGCAGCGACGGCACCGGACGGACGACCCGGCGGCGAGGACUACCUCUCUCGCGUGUGGAGUAGUUCCCUUUCCUCUCUCAUGCGGUAGCAACUCGGAGGCGCCGUGGGCGGUGCAAGAUCCGGGCGAGCUCGGCAGGACAACGGCGUUCUCCGGCGUCCCUCUCCAGCGUCGACGGUAUUAUCGCCAGUUUGAAGCUUUGGGCGCCUGCGGCCGGCUCGACAGGUGGCAUCAGCAAGCGCCGGCCGGCCUCGGCACUACUGCGGGUGGUUAUAUGGUGCGCGGAGCACACCAGUGGGCUUCAACGUCAGGCAGCAACAGAGCCGGAAGAAUAUCGAUGGCAAGGUGA